rnacentral:rRNA from 1 species
CCUACGGGAGGCAGCAGUGGGGAAUAUUGGGCAAUGGGCGAAAGCCUGACCCAGCAACGCCGCGUGAAGGAAGAAGGCUUUCGGGUUGUAAACCUCUUUUGACAGGGAAGAGCAGAAGACGGUACCUGUCGAAUAAGCCACAGCUAACUAAGUGCCAGCAGCCGCGGUAAUACGGAGGUGGCCAGCGUUGUCCGGGUUUACUGGGUGUAACGGGCGUGUAGCCGGGCUGACAAGUCAGAGGUGAAAUCCGGGGGCUCAACCCCAGAAGUGCAGUUGAACCUGUGGGUCUUGAGUAUCGGAGAGGCAGGCGGAAUUCGUGGUGUAGCGGUGAAAUGCGUAGAUAUGAGGAGGAACCCCAGUGGCGAAGGCGGCCUGCUGGACGACAACUGACGGUGAGGCGCGAAAGCGUGGGGAGCAAACAGGAUUAGAUACCCUGGUAGUC